UACGGAGGGGGCGAGCGUUGUCCGAAGUUACUGGGCGUAAAGCGCGCGUAGGCGGGUUGGUAAGUCCGCUGUGAAAGCCCGGAGCUCAACUCCGGGGGGUCGGUGGAUACUGCCAGUCUUGAAGGUGCUAGGGGGAGAUGGAAUUACCGGUGUAGCGGUGAAAUGCGUAGAUAUCGGUAGGAACACCAGUGGCGAAGGCGGUCUCCUGGGGCAUUCUUGACGCUGAUGCGCGAAAGCUGGGGGAGCAAACGGG
rnacentral:rRNA from 1 species